AUACGGAGGGUGCAAGCGUUACUCGGAAUCACUGGGCGUAAAGCGCGCGCAGGCGGCUAUUUAAGUUGGAUGUGAAAGCCUAUGGCUCAACCAUAGAACUGCAUCCAAAACUAUUUAGCUAGAGUGUGGGAGAGGAAGAUGGAAUUAGUUGUGUAGCGGUAAAAUCCGUAGAGAUAACUAGGAAUACCAAAAGCGAAGGCAAUCUUCUGGAACACUUCUGACGCUGAGGCGCGAAAGCGUGGGGAGCAAACAGGAUUAGAUACCCUAGUAGUCC
rnacentral:rRNA from 1 species